rnacentral:tRNA from 1 species
GCUUCUGUAGUGUAAUUGGAAGCACGAGCGGAUUUAUACACCGCAUACCGCCAGAUUAGCGGUUAGCCUCGGUUCGAUUCCGAGCAGAAGCA